CCAAUAGGAGGCUUUAUUUUGCAGACACGAGGAGCGGGUGAAAUGAAUAUGUGCUUUUGAUUCCAGUUUGAGACAUCACUUCAGCGCUAGUCUUCGAAGAAUAAAGAUGAGUCUCCUCCAUGCUAAGAAAAUUUCAACAGAAAUUUCUAUCAGAUUGCUAUCGUCUUCAGCAGAAGAGAAGUUUAAUAGAAGUUUACUAUCUCUGACAGACUGUCGUUGGUGUAAUACCAGAAUUUUGACGAAUUAAAGCGAAGUUAAACGAUGAAAUUUGUGAACAACAGAUUGACGACCGAUGAAUGGUGGCUGAACUGGCUCAAGAUAACUCGCCUUUGAAGAGAAAGCACGUCCAGGCUUUUUCUGGGGAAUAUUGAUGACAUAAGAAAGGUGGAGUUUGAGAGCUUAAAACCAAACUGAAUGUGAGUGAAGUGGGCAAGAAGUCCGUUACGUAGCUGAAAUUGCCCGAGACGACUCUCAUUUGACUCAAGAUAACUCGCCUUUAAAGAGAAAGCACGUCUACGCAUUUUCUUGGGACUUGUUGAUGAUAUGAGAAAGGUGAGGUUUAAAAGCUAAAACCAAAUCGAAUACAGAAAUGAGCUGGGAUAGAAAACCCAUUGAUGAAAUUCCCCGAGAUGACUCGCAUUUAAAGAGACAGCAAGUCCAAAGCUGCUCUUCAACACUUGUUGCUAAAAUGAACAGGUAGGGAUUUAGCGGGUCAAGCCAUUUGAAACGACAACAAAACCUGUUCAUAAUAAAACGUUGAUGAGUAACAGCCAAAACGACGGCAAAUCCACGCCUAUAAUGUAGGGCAACCUCGACGGCAAAUCUACGCCUAAUGUAGGCAACCUCGACAGCAAAUCUACGCCUAAUGUAG